CUCACACACUCUGCAUUCACACAAACACACACUCUGCAUUAUACACACACACUGCAUUCAUUAUAUACACACUGCAUUCAUACACACACACUGCAUUCAUUAUAUACACACACUGCAUUCACACAAACCACACAUUCUGCAUUCAUUAUAUACACACACACUGCAUUCACACAAACACACACAUUUUGCAUUCAUUAUAUACACACACUGUAAAUAAAUAUCCAAUUAAUGUAAUUUUAUUGGGAUCUAAAAAUUUUAUUUAGAAAUUUACCAGUAGCUGCUGCAUUUCCCACCCUAGGCUUAUACAUCGAGUCAAUAAGUUUUCCCAGUUUUCUGUGCUAAAAUUAGGUGCCUCGGCUUAUAUUCGGGUCGACUUAUGCUCGACUAUAUACGGUAUAUUGACAAACCACCACCCAAACAUGUUCAGCAAUGCGUUUUUCAGUUAUUCUGUAAAUUAUGCAGGUCCAGCACUUUCUAUAGGGUUGGCCAUCUAGGGUGCUGCUUAAAGGGGGCGCCAGCAGGAGCUUUACUGCUCUGCUCAUUUGGCUGCCCCUCUAUGUUUUAAUAAUUCUACAAAUCGUGCCGCCGACCAUGUUACUUGGCGCUAGGGACACUUACAUGUCUGCUGACUAGCGCCCGGUGUAACACUGCUCCGGCGGCAUCCACUUCGGCCUGCUCAGCCAGGCCCCCAAGAAGCACUCCUAUUGCCGCAACAGCACGAGGGCACUUCAAUUUCUCGCUCACAUGCAGUGAAGGCGGCCAGGUGCAGGGAAGCGGCCAGGAACACAUGACAAGCAGUCAAAUAUUAAGAAAGGUAAGUGGGUUAAUAGGGAAUGUGUAUUUGUGAAGAGUUUCUGUAUGUCAGUCUGUAUGGGUCAGUGUGUGUGUCUGUAUGGGUCAGUGUGUGUCUGCAUGCGUCAGUGUGUGUCUGCAUGGGUCAGUGUGUGUCUGCAUGGGUCAGUGUGUGUGGGCAUGAGUUAGUGUGUGUCGACAUGGGUCAGUGUGUGUCGGCAUGGGUCAGUGUGUGUCGACAUGGGUCAGUGUGUGUUGGCAUGGGUCAGCUUGUGUCUGCAUGUAUCAGUGCAUGUGUCUGCAUGUAUCAGUGUGUGUCAGUGUAUGUGUCUGCAUGGGCCAGUAUGUGUGUCUGCAAGAGACAGUGUGUGUGCGCGUCAGUCUGCAUUCAUAACUGAGUGUAUGUCAGUCUGCAUGGGUCAGUGUGUGCGUCAGUCUGUGUGUGUCAGUGCGUGUGCAUCAGUCUGCAUGGGUCAGUGUAUGUCAGUCUGCAUGAGUGUAUGAAGCAAAUGGAGGGGCAAUUUUUUUUUGCCUAGGGUAGCAAAAAUCCUUGCACUGGCCCUGUAAUUAUGGUAUUAUUAUUAUGGUUUUUCCAACCCUACACUCACACUAACCUUGAGCUCCUACACAACCCUAACACCAUUAAAGGACCACUCUAGGCACCCAGACCACUUCAGCUUAAUGAAGUGGUCUGGGUGCCAGGUCCAGCUAGGGUUAACCCAUUUUUUAAUAAACAUAGCAGUUUCAGAGAAACUGCUAUGUUUAUUAAUGGGUUAAGCCUUCCCCCUAAUCCUCUAGUGGCCGUCUCAUUGACAGCCACUAGAGGCGCUUGCGUGC